rnacentral:rRNA from 1 species
AGAGUUUGAUCCUGGCUCAGAUUGAACGCUGGCGGCAGGCCUAACACAUGCAAGUCGAACGGUAACAUUUCUAGCUUGCUAGAAGAUGACGAGUGGCGGACGGGUGAGUAAUGCUUGGGAACUUGCCUUCAGGAGGGGGAUAACAGUUGGAAACGACUGCUAAUACCGCAUAACGUCUACGGACCAAAGGGGGCUUCGGCUCCCACCUGAAGAGAGGCCCAAGUGAGAUUAGCUAGUUGGUAAGGUAAAGGCUUACCAAGGCGACGAUCUCUAGCUGUUCUGAGAGGAAGAUCAGCCACACUGGGACUGAGACACGGCCCAGACUCCUACGGGAGGCAGCAGUGGGGAAUAUUGCACAAUGGGGGAAACCCUGAUGCAGCCAUGCCGCGUGUGUGAAGAAGGCCUUCGGGUUGUAAAGCACUUUCAGUUGUGAGGAAAGGUUGGUAGUUAAUACCUGCCAGCUGUGACGUUAACAACAGAAGAAGCACCGGCUAACUCCGUGCCAGCAGCCGCGGUAAUACGGAGGGUGCGAGCGUUAAUCGGAAUUACUGGGCGUAAAGCGCACGCAGGCGGUUUGUUAAGCUAGAUGUGAAAGCCCCGGGCUCAACCUGGGAUGGUCAUUUAGAACUGGCAGACUAGAGUCUUGGAGAGGGGAGUGGAAUUCCAGGUGUAGCGGUGAAAUGCGUAGAUAUCUGGAGGAACAUCAGUGGCGAAAGCGGCUCCCUGGCCAAAGACUGACGCUCAUGUGCGAAAGUGUGGGUAGCGAACAGGAUUAGAUACCCUGGUAGUCCACACCGUAAACGCUGUCUACUAGCUGUUUGUGAAUUUAAUUCGUGAGUAGCGAAGCUAACGCGCUAAGUAGACCGCCUGGGAGUACGGCGCAAGGUUAAAACUCAAUGAAUUGACGGGGCCGCACAAGCGUGGAGCAUGGUGGUUUAAUUCGAUGCAACGCGAGACCUUACCUACACUUGACAUGCAGAGACUUUCCAGAGAUGGAUUGUGCUUCGGGAAACUCUGACCAGUGCUGCAUGCUGUCGUCAGCUCGUGUCCGUGAAUGUGGUAGUCCCGCACGAGCCUGCUUGUCUAGUUGCAGCAUUUAGUGGGCACUCUAGGAACUGCCGGUUACAAAGUUCGGAGUCAGUGUGGGACAACCUCAAGGUCAUUCAUGUG